CUUCUCUCCACUUCCAAAAGGUGGGUUUAAGACCAUAGGCGACAUUGAUCAAGUGGGAAGAUGUUCUAUACCAGGGAUAGGCAACCUUCGGCACUCCAUAUGUUUUGGACUAGAUCCCCCAUAAUGCUCUUACACCCGUAAUGCUGGCAAAGCAUCAUGGGAGGUGAGUGCCGAUGGUUGCCUAUGCCUGUUCUUUACAAUCGUAUGGGAAACGGAUUGAGAUGGAACAGGUAGGUUUCUUCAUCAAAUGAAAGUACGAUGUCUGCUAUUUGGAAAACAACGGUGUGAACAGUGUUCCAGAAUGAUCUGAUCUCCAGACACCACCACCAAAUAUGGAUGAGAGUGUCCAGCGCUUUCCCACAGCACCAGCACUCUGGUCUGCAGUUGAGUACAUAUGUUUUAGCUUCUCUUGUGUGUGGUAUCAAUAAGUGAGUAAUUUAUAACCUGAUUCAUGGUAGUGGGUGCUGAAAGAGGACUUAUG